GACGAGGGGUCCAAGCGUUGUUCGGAAUCAUUGGGCGUAAAGCGGGUGUAGGUGGCUCUAUAAGUCAGAAGUGAAAGCCCCGGGCUUAACCCGGGAAGUGCUUUUGAUACUGCAGAGCUUGAAUGUGGGAGAGGGUAGUGGAAUUCCAGGUGUAGUGGUGAAAUACGUAGAUAUCUGGAGGAACACCGGUGGCGAAGGCGGCUACCUGGCCCAACAUUGACACUGAGACGCGAAAGCGUGGGGAUCAAACAGG
rnacentral:rRNA from 1 species